GAGCAUUAUCUCUAUAUUACAUGUACAAGUUCUUGAGGAAGACACAGAGAGGAGGUUGGAUGUGCCUGGGAGGAAUACUGCUAUGUGUAACUGAUUCUGAAGCAAUGUUUGCUGAUCUGGGCAUUUCAACCAGUUGUCAAUACAGAUUGUUUUUACAUGCAUGGUGUAUCCAGCAUUGAUCCUUGCAUACAUGGGACAAGCUGCUUAUCUGUGUAAGCAUCAUAUCAUGGAAAGUGACUACAGG